rnacentral:rRNA from 1 species
UACGAAGGGGGCUAGCGUUGCUCGGAAUUACUGGGCGUAAAGCGCACGUAGGCGGCCUUCUAAGUCGGGGGUGAAAUCCUGGAGCUCAACUCCAGAACUGCCUUCGAUACUGGAAAGCUCGAGUCCGGGAGAGGUGAGUGGAACUGCGAGUGUAGAGGUGAAAUUCGUAGAUAUUCGCAAGAACACCAGUGGCGAAGGCGGCUCACUGGCCCGGUACUGACGCUGAGGUGCGAAAGCGUGGGGAGCAAACAGG